AAUUGAUGCUGUUAAAUCGACUGUUAUAAGAUUAUAAAGAAAAUACCUUCAAAACAAUUUCAUUUUUUCUCAUACGUACUCUUACUAAGAAUUUCAUUUUUCCUCAUACGUUCUUUUACCCUCUCUCUGACUAAACGAACUUCUCCGUUUUGCUGUUAGUGUUUCAUUUCAUGGCAUAUUGGCUUUUGUAUGAGGAAUCUCAAGCUUUUUUACCGUAAAUUUAUAAGGUAACUCUAAACUUCUCUUUGUUUACCAUAAGGUGUUUGUUGAAAUGUCACAAAGAAGUAUUUUCCAUUAUUUGUUGAUUUUUUCAUGUUAUACGUCAGAGUACAUUACCUCUGAGUACUCUAUGGUAAUUUCUUGGAAUUUUAGAAUAUAAGUAUCUCACACUGGAAAAUUUUCACAUCGAAAGUCAACUUGGAACCAAAAUGUUUGGAUUCCAGUGAAGCCCUUUCCAAACGGAAGGAUCUUACGAAUGUGGAGUCGGCGGCCUUCUAUGUUCGUGUUCCACAACAAGAGUGUAUCGACUAGAAUUCAGUCAGAUGCCUAAAUUAUUCAUACCCACAUAGAAAAAACCUUUGGCAAGUAUGGUUUGUGCUAAAUGGACGCGUCUAAAAAUUGUUAGUAAUUUCAACAAUGAUUUAUACUCUUUUCUACAACGUCUCAUUUGUGAUUAUACUAUAAAAGAACAUGGCAGAAGGAGGGUAGAAGCGCAAGCAGACAUGAAAGUGGAGGAGAACAAAUCCGUUGGAUGUUUGAGAACAAGACUGGUACUUGCCGAUUGCAAAAAUAUUAGUCUGAUGAUAACGAAAGCGCUUCGUAGGGCAACUGAUAAAUGGAAGAAAUUGAAAAGGAAGCCCUUAAAGGUGUACAGGGAGCUGUAGAAGAUGAAAAUUGUUUUGUUUUGUUUUGUUUUGUUGUUUUGAUUAGUUCCGAUUUCAUAGAUGACAACUGCAUGUUUUCAUUGAAUUGGAGAAAAUUCUCAUGAUGUUUCAGAUGGAGGUAGACGCAAAGGAUUUGAAAAGGGGUGGAGAUGGGUCUGCAAAGAAUGAUGGUGUGGGAUUUCAACACAGACAUAAUUUCCAGGUUACAUGAUUUACCUCGAUACUUAUUAGGCAUGAUAUACGAAACAAAAGAUAUGUUCACCAGCACUCCGAAUUCAACUCUCCAACAUGUUUACGGAGAAGCGAACCAGGUGGCUGACUCUCUUGCCUGCUUUUGACAUUCAACAAUCCAGCACACCUUCAAAGAAUGUUACAUCUAGCCCAUGUUUCUGUUUUCUGCCACAUUUUUUUCUGGAGAAGUUCCGGCUAAUUUGUAAUUUCUUCUUCAUUGGCGUCUCUCCGACUAGCUAUAGAAAUAGGAUUUCAAAUUUUUUUUUUUUUUUUUAAAUCUGUACUGUCUAACUGUUAAUUAGGUA